GUACUGACCCUACGGGGGGCAGCAGUGGGGAAUUUUGGACAAUGGGCGCAAGCCUGAUCCAGCAAUGCCGCGUGCGGGAAGAAGGCCUUCGGGUUGUAAACCGCUUUUGUACGGAACGAAAAGGCUCUGGCUAAUACCUGGGGCUGAUGACGGUACCGUAAGAAUAAGCACCGGCUAACUACAUGCCAGCAGCCGCGGUAAUACGUAGGGUGCGAGCGUUAAUCGGAAUUACUGGGCGUAAAGCGUGCGCAGGCGGUU
rnacentral:rRNA from 1 species